rnacentral:rRNA from 1 species
GACGUAGGGCGCGAGCGUUGUCCGGAUUUAUUGGGCGUAAAGAGCUCGUAGGCGGCUUGUCGCGUCGUCCGUGAAAACCCACAGCUCAACUGUGGGCUUGCGGUCGAUACGGGCAGGCUAGAGUUCGGUAGGGGAGACUGGAAUUCCUGGUGUAGCGGUGAAGUGCGCAGAUAUCAGGAGGAACACCGGUGGCGAAGGCGGGUCUCUGGGCCGAUACUGACGCUGAGGAGCGAAAGCGUGGGGAGCGAACAGG